UCGAUCCGUGGGAUUUGUUAUCAUUGGCUCUCGAGUAUCCAAGGUUUAAUUUUUGGUCUCGCUUAUGUGUUUUCUCAUGUGCUUCUUCGUAUGAAGCGGCAAGUGAUAUGACUCUCUCUUGCCCUUCCCUUAAUCAUCAUAAAUAAUUAAUCAUAGCAGUAAUUACGAUCCCUAUAAUUUAUUCGCAUUAAUAUCUCUCCCUCGAUUAUUCGGUUCGGUUUAUUGCGUCGGUCAUCCGAUUAUGAAAUUUUAAACAAACACCACUCGAUUCAGUUCGGUCUGGGUCGGUUUAACUUUUAAUUUCUAGGGUUUCUGAUUUUAGGGGUGAAAGUGGGUGUAUGUAUAGUAUAUAUUAGCUCCUCCUUCAUCGCCGCGUAGCUAAAGCACAUUGAUUGAUUGAUCCUUCAAAUCAUCCCAUGAAUAUUCUUUGCGCUUUUACGUAUCAUCAUCUUUGUCGAUUCGAAUGAGUUUGGGUUUUAGAGGUUGUUUUAUUAAGUUAUAGUUUCCAAUUAGAAAAAAAAAGUAUUUUGAUGAAUUGAUUAGAGUUUUGUUUAGAACUUUGUGAUGGUGCAGAGAGGGAGAGAGCAAAUGAUGGGAUACACUUGAUCUCUGAAUUUUAACAGGUAAGUUCUUGUUGAUAACUAUACAUCUGCUGAUGCUCUCUCACUCUGCACCCGGUUGAUUUUUUUUAUGAUGUGUGUUGCCUUGCUCUGAGCCCCUGACUAAGUGAUAUUAUUGAAGAAAUUGAUGUCUAGUAUCUGUCUGAGUUUAGACUACACUAAGCAUGACUAAAGGAUUUUGAAGUUAAAGGAAUCAGGGAAAGAGGGGGAGCAAGUGUUGUUUUUUACUUGUAACGACAGUAGCAUGAUUCAACUCUUACUAUAUUCUUUUCAUUCUUUGAUUUUUCGUUUUAACGCCAGUCUGUACAUAUGAGUAUAUCACUUCUGCAUUUCAUUCAUAUUCCAUAUUUAGUUCAAGCUACGAUGUAAUUGAUGUGCUACUCUGAGAAGCUGUUCUUUUGUAUUUCAGAAAUUAGUUCAUUUGUAGUGAUGCAUAACUACACAGGCUACA